AGAGUAAAAUUAUAAAUAAUAUUCACUUAUUUGUUGGAGAGAAAUAAACUCUGAUCCAUAUAACAGGAGAACAAAUAGAAGUAUGAUCUAUCCAUGGUUACAGUCAGUCCACGCCUCAACAUCUCUCAUAAAUGAUACACGCCAAAGAAUAUAAAUAUAUCUUACACAGGUAAUGAAUUCCGUCUUCACAUGUACCUUUCAAGAACAUUGUUUCUCUCAUAUUACAAGGGGAAGAAUGAACACUCCUACAAAAAAAGAAAUGCACCGCUUUUCAGUAAAUACCCAAAAAAGGGGAGAAAAGGAUUUGUAGUGAGCAAUUACGCAGCCAAAAGAUCCAAGCUUCUUGAUCCUAGAACAAUGAGAAUGGAAAUAAGCAUGCGAGCUGAGUGACCAUUUCCCGAUUUCAAAGCAACAAAAACACGGUUAAAAGAAUGGCCAGAUUUGUAAGGAAGAAGCAUGCGGCAAUCUUAUGCUGUCCAUUUGGUCUUGGAGCUGCUGCUUGUGCAGUUCCAUCACCUGGGCUGGAAGAUGGAACCCUCGCAAUAACGGAGGGCAAAGGUGACUCUGCCACAUCGUUCUCCGUUAGCACUGGGUUAGGAGCCUCAGCUGGCGGCAAUAAUUCACGCGGAAUUAUUUCCAGGAGACCACCUGGCGGAACCGGGGUCAUGUAAGGAGGUGUGUUCUUGCCCAAAUUUAAACAACGGUUCUUUUUGUAUCUAGCUGAUGUUCGAGGGAAGUCUGUGAUAACACCACUAACGUUGGCACCCAUGACAUAGGAGUUAACCUCCACAUUGGCAUCCGAGAAGAAAUCCCAUGCUUGAGAUACAAAUUCAUUGCUGAAGGUCUCUACAUAAACAGCGAGCCCAGCUGAGCUUAGCCUUGGCACAACAUUUGUAACACCAGUGAGGAAUAGUGCAUUAUCGGGGUAGACAGAACUCUUGCUGAUGACCACAGAAUCAGCAAAUGUCUUGAUGUCUUUAAUGGUUGCAUCAAGAGCAUCUCGAAUAUUCUCAUCGACCUUGUAAACACGCUUGAAAUUACUUUUUUCCUUAAACUUCAUCAGAACAGAACUAUUUGUGGACUGAAUCAUAACUUCUGUUGCAAUCUGCCCAGCUUUGCUCAAAGCUUCAAGCACCGCAUCAGUUACAGGUAAUUUCUGCUUCUCUAUCAGAUAGAAAGCAUUCUCAAUGCUUAUCAAGACACCAGAAAGAGAGCUAGUGUUCUUUGCCAGGGCCAAGAAAUCAGACAAGCUUAAGAACUUUCCAUCAUUUCUGAACUUUGGAUUCCGCGACAACUCAUAUUUUGCAUAUGGGCUUGCUAUUGCCGGAGUCAAGGUCUGAAUCUGAUUCCAUGUCAAGCUAAAGGUAUAUAUUCCACUGCCUCCACUGAGCUCUGGAAUUAUUUCUGAAAGGUUGCUGUAAGGGGACUGAGCAACUGUUGUACUGUCAAUAAGAUUUAUGGAGCCUAAGCAAAAUGGUAUGCCAUCCUUCGACAUUUGGACAGGACAAUCAAUAACAUCUGCACCAUCUAAAAUAGCAUUCUGGUAUGCCUUGUCAGUACAACCGGGGUAAUCUCCACUUGCACCAUUUUUUGAGAUGACCAAAACAUUAGAUCGUUUUGAAGCAUUUUUGCCAAUAUGAGAAAAGCAAACUGCAAUACAAAAGGAUAAAUUAGCAUAUCAAAAAUAUUUGUUCCCUAGAUUAGGACAAUACACCAGCCUUAAGGUAUAAAUUCCUCAAGUAAAGUAUAGCCUAGCAGUGGCAGAAGAGCUUUUUUUAGAUGGCAUUUCCAACAUUCACAGUAAAAUUCAGCACUCGACCUAUUAAAAGCUUGACCAAAAUAUGAAUUCACACAUAACCAGGGAAUAAAAUAAGAGCAUUACUGCCAAAUAACUGGUUAAUUAUUCAAGCCAAAGAUGCUACAUGGUUACAAUUUUGAGAAAGAUAUUAAUCCACUUUCCUUGAUCCAAAAACAAAUUAAUUGGAUUCAUUCAAGUUGAGGUUGCAAUGAAUGUGCACUUGCAAAUGAUGUCAGAUGCAAACAAAAGGUAAUGUACUACUUCACCCUCUGUACAGAUGCAUGACAAUUUGACAAUUAUAGGAUGGAUGAAGAUAGGAUGGAUGAAGAAGAAGAUGGCUCACCUAUUGCCGCUGAUGGAGUUAUUGGGAAGUCAGAUAGUACACCAUCAACAGAGAAAUCACCAUUAUCGAUGAAAGAUAAAUAUUCACUAACUGGAUCAUAACUGUAAUUGAAACUAAAUGGAACAUCAUUGUAAAAUUCUGAUGCAAAAACUUCUAGCCCUGCUUUGUGUGCAUCCAAGACAACAGAAGUAUGAGUUUGUAAGUAAAGAGUUGCAUCAACAGGCCAUAUGUAACCCUUAGGGAUAAGAAUUCCAGAGGCAAAUGUCUUGAUAAAUGUUAAAUUCUUCAACAGAGAACUGUAAGUCUGGUUUGUUGAAGGCUCAAAAUCAUUAGGUCCUAGAAAGCGGAAGACCAGUUUUGUCACAUUAGGGUUGACUCGUGCAGCAAUACUUCUCAGGAAAACCACCUCUGGUGAUGAGAUAUAAUUGGCAACCACUUUUCUAGAUAGAGCAAGUAUGUAACUUCUCAUGCUCAAAUCGUGUUGUGUGAAAAAUGCAUCAUGCUGAACAUUCAACCACAUGCCUGAUGGUUUUAGUGCAGCCACAUUCUCAACUUGCUGGAUUGGAGACAAGCCAUCAAAUUUGUUAGGUCGAGAAUAGACACCCUGGGUAUAGACUACAGAUGAUAAAUCACUGAAAGUGAAAUCCACUGAAAAACAUCCUCGAGUGGGGACACCAUUAACUAGGUAAGUCUUGUACUUAUUUAAAAUUGAAAUGUUGGUAGAAUUUUCCAGCCUGAGAUCAGGAGCACAAAUCCCUAUUCCAUCUUUGGUUAACUGCACAUCACACCAUAGAAUUACAUCGGGUACACUGGUUUCCAAUGCGAACUGAUAAGCAUAAUAGCUUGAAUCUGGAAAUAGCCCUGAAAACCCUCCACGUGCAACAACUAAAGGUGGAUUUCCGCUAAGUGUCUGCCAGCGGCUAGUAGAUCCCUGAGCAGAAACCAGAGUUACUAAUGAGUGAAGUAGCAGAAAUGCAGGCAGUAGAGACGUAAAAGCGCGUGGACUAGACAUUGCAGCCGGAGAAUCUCGCCGGCAACUGAUCGACGGAGCGAAGCAGCUUCGGUCAGGUUAUUUCGGGAAAUGUGCGAGGUUUGAUAAAAUUGAGAGAUAGAGGAAGAGAGGGACACAAGAGGGAGAUGUGAAGUGAUGCACAGACCUUUUCAGGCUGGCAUUUCUG
rnacentral:misc_RNA from 1 species